AUUCUUUUAAGUAUGAGUGCUUCAAUUACAGCCAAACUCAUUGUUUGUGGUGAUGUGGUGCAUGCAUUCUUUUCAUGCACAAACAACUGUCUCGUGCAGUGAACGAAAGAAAGACUAUUAGAAAGGCAAACUGACUGUUAAAAUAAUUUCACAAUAAUCACAACAUUUACAGGUGAAACAUAAAAAGCAUACCAACAGAUGUAAAAGAAAAUGAGGAAAAAAAAGAAAGACAAUGAACAUUCCUUGGGCCCACACUGUACACUAUCAGCAGUGGUUCUGAACGUCAUCCUGACACGCUUGCAGUGCAACCAACAGAUUUACUACUGCUCUUAGAAUUGGCACUUUGACGAAUAAAUUAUAAUGCUAGAUCACAGGCGUGACAAAGAGCACCUAGGCCUCUUUUUUUUUGCGACACUACUUUUCUAAUUAAUUAAAAACAGUAGAGAGAAAUAGAAGAAAGAAAAAUGAAUGGGAAAUAUGGCAGGGUUGAGCCAAACACUGCUCUCCAGGUUGUUAGUGCACCAGGGAGGUCCCCAUUAGACCUGUGACAUAUUCACACUUAUGUACAAAGUCGCACUUUUAAAUACAGCCGUAGUGAAGUGAGUGAGCAUUCAAAAGUGACCCACACAAGCAAUGCAAAAUACCCAUCCAUCCAACAAGUAAACCAGCUUGUUCCUUUCCAGACACGUCAGCUGUACACUUGCUAAGCCUAACCGUAUGCUUCA
rnacentral:lncRNA from 1 species